GUAGUUGUGGCUGAGUGGCUAAGGCGAUGGACUAAAAAUCCUUUGGGGUCUCCCCAUGCAGGUUCAAAUCCUGUCAACUACA